GCUGUAAAGACCUCUCUCCACCUGCUGAAA
rnacentral:piRNA from 1 species